AUUGAACGCUGGCGGCAGGCUUAACACAUGCAAGUCGAGCGGAGAUGAGGUGCUUGCACCUUAUCUUAGCGGCGGACGGGUGAGUAAUGCUUAGGAAUCUGCCUAUUAGUGGGGGACAACAUUCCGAAAGGAAUGCUAAUACCGCAUACGUCCUACGGGAGAAAGCAGGGGAUCUUCGGACCUUGCGCUAAUAGAUGAGCCUAGGUCGGAUUAGCUAGUUGGUGGGGUAAAGGCCUACCAAGGCGACGAUCUGUAGCGGGACUGAGAGGAUGAGCCGCCACACUGGGACUGAGACACGGCCCAGACUCCUACGGGAGGCAGCAGUGGGGAAUAGUGGACAAUGGGGGGAACCCUGAUCCAGCCAUGCCGCGUGUGUGAAGAAGGCCUUAUGGUUGUAAAGCACUUUAAGCGAGGAGGAGGCUACUGAGACUAAUACUCUUGGAUAGUGGACGUUACUCGCAGAAUAAGCACCGGCUAACUCUGUGCCAGCCGCCGCGGUAAGAC
rnacentral:rRNA from 1 species